GCCCGCCGCGCCCCGCGCCCGUCCCGCCGCCCCCGCCCACGGGGUGCAGCAGGCGCGAAACCUUCACAAUGUGCGAAAGCACGAUGAGGGGAUCCCAAGUGCUUGCUCGUAAGAGUAAGCUGUUUUUAUGUCUAAAAAGCAUAGAGAGUAAGGGCUGGGUAAGACGGGUGCCAGCCGCCGCGGUAAUACCUGCAGCUCAAGUGGUGACCACUAUUAUUGGGCCUAAAACGUUCGUAGCCGGUUUGGUAAAUGCCUGGGUAAAUCGUGUAGCUUAACUAUACGAAUUCCGGGUAGACUGCCAAACUUGAGACCGGGAGAAGUUAGAGGUACUCCUGGGGUAGAGGUGAAAUUCUGUAAUCCUGGGGGGACCACCAGUGGCGAAGGCGUCUAGCUAGAACGGGUCUGACGGUGAGGGACGAAGCCCUGGGGCGNNNACCGGAUUAGAUACCCGGGUAGUCCAGGGUGUAAACGCUGCUUGCUUGAUGUUAGUUGGGCUCCGAGCCCAA
rnacentral:rRNA from 1 species